GACGAACGCUGGCGGCGUGCUUAACACAUGCAAGUCGAGCGGUAAGGCCCUUUUGGGGGGUACACGAGCGGCGAACGGGUGAGUAACACGUGGGUGACCUGCCCUCAGCUCUGGGAUAAGCCUGGGAAACUGGGUCUAAUACUGGAUAUGACCUUUCCUCGCAUGGGGUUGGGUGGAAAGUUUUUCGGCUGGGGAUGGGCCCGCGGCCUAUCAGCUUGUUGGUGGGGUGAUGGCCUACCAAGGCGACGACGGGUAGCCGGCCUGAGAGGGCGACCGGCCACACUGGGACUGAGACACGGCCCAGACUCCUACGGGAGGCAGCAGUGGGGAAUAUUGCGCAAUGGGCGGAAGCCUGACGCAGCGACGCCGCGUGGGGGAUGACGGCCUUCGGUUG
rnacentral:rRNA from 1 species